UAGUACGGCGAGUGAAGAGGAAAGAGCUCAAAGUUGGAACCUGUUUGGCUUAGCUAAACCGGAUUGUAAACUCGUAGAAGUGUUUUCCAGACACGCCUGGUAAAAAAGUCCUUUGGAACAGGGCAUCAUAGAGGGUGAGAAUCCCGUCAUUGGCCAGAGCUGUUGUCUUUUGUGAUACAUUUUCAAAGAGUCAGGUUGUUUGGGAAUGCAGCCUAAAUUGGGUGGUAAAUCUCACCUAAAGCUAAAUAUUUGCGAGAGACCGAUAGCGAACAAGUACCGUGAGGGAAAGAUGAAAAGAACUUUGAAAAGAGAGUUAAACAGUAUGUGAAAUUGUUAAAAGGGAACCGUUUGGAGCCAGACUGGCUUGAUCGUAAUCACUCUAGGCUUUGGCCUGGAUGCACUUGCGGUCUAUGCCGGCCAACGACAGUUUUGUUUGAGGGAAAAAAUUACAUUGAAUGUGGCCCUUCGGGGUGUUAUAGCUUUGUAAAAAAUACCUUGGACGGGACUGAGGAACGCAGCGAAUGCCUUUAGGCGAGAUUGCUGGGUGCUUGCGCUGAUACAUGCUAGAAUUUCUGCUUUGGGUGGUGCUAGUGUGUAAAGGAGUAACCCGCUUAGUAUAUUUUUUAUUCGCUUAGGUUGUUGGCUUAAUGACUCUAAAUGACCCGUCUUGAAA
rnacentral:rRNA from 1 species